rnacentral:ncRNA from 1 species
GUAGAGCAGUCGACUGUCAAAGGCAGCUUUAUGGAGUAAUCCAUAUCGAAAAGAAGGUGAAUUGCUGGAAACCCGAACGACUUGUUGUAAAACAAGAUCGAGGGCAAUCAGCAGCCAAGCCUUGAUGCAAAUCAAGGAAGGUUCAGAGACUAUCUCGAGAGAGAGUACUUGCAAUGCAAAGCAUUGCCGGGAAGCGCCUUCCUCCAGUUCGUUCACACGAACAUCUGGAUGAUGAUAUAGUCCAUACCACGCGUAAUCGUGGA